rnacentral:rRNA from 1 species
AGAGGGUGCGAGCGUUAAUCGGAAUGACUGGGCGUAAAGCGCACGUAGGUUGAUAAUUAAGUUAGAUGUGAAAGACCUGGGCUCAACCUGGGAAGGUCAUUUAAUACUGGUUAUCUAGAGUAUAGUAGAGGGAAGUGGAAUUUCCGGUGUAGCGGUGAAAUGCGUAGAUAUCGGAAGGAACAUCAGUGGCGAAGGCGGCUUCCUGGACUGAUACUGACACUGAGGUGCGAAAGCGUGGGUAGCGAACAGGAUUAGAUACCCUGGUAGUCCACGCCGUAAACGAUGAGAACUAGCCGUUGGGGGACUAAGGUCUUUUAGUGGCGCAGCUAACGCGAUAAGUUCUCCGCCUGGGGAGUACGGCCGCAAGGUUA